rnacentral:rRNA from 1 species
UACGUAGGGCGCGAGCGUUGUCCGGAUUUAUUGGGCGUAAAGAGCUCGUAGGCGGCUUGUCGCGUCGACUGUGAAAACCCGCGGCUCAACUGCGGGCCUGCAGCCGAUACGGGCAGGCUAGAGUUCGGCAGGGGAGACUGGAAUUCCUGGUGGUAGCGGUGAAAUGACGCAGAUAUCAGGAGGAACACCGGUGGCGAAGGCGGGGUCUCUGGGCCGAUACUGACGCUGGAGGAGCGAA